CUACGGGGUGCAGCAGUGGGGAAUAUUGCACAAUGGGCGCAAGCCUGAUGCAGCCAUGCCGCGUGUAUGAAGAAGGCCUUCGGGUUGUAAAGUACUUUCAGCGGGGAGGAAGGGAGUAAAGUUAAUACCUUUGCUCAUUGACGUUACCCGCAGAAGAAGCACCGGCGAACUCCGUGCCAGCAGCCGCGGUAAUACGGAGGGUGCAAGCGUUAAUCGGAAUUACUGGGCGUAAAGCGCACGCAGGCGGUUUGUUAAGUCAGAUGUGAAAUCCCCGGGCUCAACCUGGGAACUGCAUCUGGUUACUGGCAAGCUUGAGUCUCGUAGAGGGGGGUAGAAUUCCAGGUGUAGCGGUGAAAUGCGUAGAGAUCUGGAGGAAUACCGGUGGCGAAGGCGGCCCCCUGGACGAAGACUGACGCUCAGGUGCGAAAGCGUGGGGAGCAAACAGGAUUAGAUACCCCAGUAGUC
rnacentral:rRNA from 1 species